UCCCUUGGUCUUGUGAUUUGAGUUGAUAUUUUCUCCUGAUUCUUUCUCAACAAUACUUAGUUUGAGAUCACUUAACAAAAAUCUAUGCAUCCUAUAACAAUUCCAAGCGUAAGAAAUUGUGAAGUGUGCGGAACCUUGGGUAUAAAGGGCAAGGAAUUAUGUGUAAUGCCUUCUAAACAAUCCUGCAAGCAAUCACAGAUUUCAGUACAGGAAAUCCUACAAACAAUUGCAGAUUUCUGAUAAAUCCAGUCCUUCCAAAUUUCUUAUGAUCCACAAACUCAGAUUUGAUUUGUUGCAUAAAACCCAUUGACAAAAAAUCAAUUUCGACUAAUUAUUUCCUCUUCACUGGAGAACCAACCAAAAAACAGGAGAAAGUCAUGGCAAAGAAUACAGGAAAAUCAGUUUAGACCUACUGUAUUAGGCAGGAAUGCCAAGGCAGGGUGGAGAAGGUGGAGACAGAAUAAUUUGACAUACAAUUUUGAAUCUUUCAUCUAAUUAUUGCAGUCACAUGAAUAGCUAACCAAGAACCAAGUUGAAUAGAUAUUUGGUUGAAAUGCAACACAAUAAACAGAUAAUACCACCUAUAUAAAACUUGUUUCAGGAAAAAACAGAGCAUUUGGUCAAAUUUUACAAAGAUUGAGAGCUUGGCUAGUGAUCCAAAUCCUUUCCUUAUUCAACCCACUAAUCAAGAACACCAACCCCAUUCUAGUUCAGAAAAGGACCAACGCAAGGAUCUUACUUACAAAGUAAUUUUUGGAGUUUUUCCUUAUCCAAAGUUGUCUUGCAAGACAAUAUGAUUUCACAUUGAGCUCCAAACAAUCGCUGGCGUUUUAACCAAAACAACUUAUUGCGCAAUUCAUGCGUUUCUGCUUUCAUGACUACAAAUUUCUUCUUAAUUUCCAUGAAAAAUUGUUCUCUGGACUUUUUAUCAAUAUGAGGUGAUCGUAACACAGUAUACAAGACUCGUGAUUGAGGCAAUCCAAUCUUCGACGCACCUGGAGUAUUAAAAUAGGCAUCUUCUGAUUCACUGCUUUUUCCACCAGCUUGUGAAAAAAUACUUCGCUUCACCAUAGAGAACUCUGAACAACAAACUUGACUCAAUCCCCGGAAGCUGACAAUAGAAGCAAUAUGUUAAAAUUAUCACUUAUAAUUAAUAAAAAUGAAAUUGAAAGAUAAAAUUGACCAAAAGACAAGUAAUGCCAACAAAACAAAAAGGGGUUUCCAGGCAAAAGGCAAAACAAAGGAACUUUACCAAAUGAGAUACCUAAGCGUAUCCAAUUAUAAUACAAGAACUGUUCAAAGUUCCAAACUUCAUACUGAGAUGUUAUCAGAAAUCAUAAUUACAGUGCUCUAACACGGCACUACAGGUGAUGAAAAAGCAAUGAAGCCUUGCACAUCCCCUUGUGUAUCAAAAAGAAUAAGAACUGGCUGUAAUUCUGUCCAACUCUUUCUUUUUCAUUCAUAGAAAUCAGAACCAAAAUAAAAUAAAAGCCUUACAGAAAAAGAACAAGCCAAUUACAAUAAUUUACUGAAAUAUAAUUAAUUGUUGCAACUUGAAAAGAAAAGAACUAAAAUUUUUAUACAUUUUCUGCUCAAAGAAAAUCCCACCCUGAAAAACCACCAAGUUUUCAAGAAGAAUACCAUUUACUUUGUUAGUAAUCAAAUCAAGAUCAAUCAAAAGAAACCCACAAAAAAAAAAAAGAUCAAAUGGUAAAAUAUAAAUUUCUUCUAAACAGAGAAAGUAAUACAUGUAGACAGAGAAAGACAAGAGAGGAAUUUACUUGAGAGGAUUGGAAGCUGGACGAAUAGCCCACAUAGUGAAUAGCUGGUUUCAAUGAAGAGAGAGAUUUGUAAGGAGAAGAAAAACAAAGAAGAGGAGGAAACAAAUUCUCAGUUGAUAGAUAUGAGAUGGACUUUGAGAGCGGCUAGGGUUUAGAAGUG
rnacentral:misc_RNA from 1 species